rnacentral:rRNA from 1 species
GACGAACGCUGGCGGCGUGCUUAACACAUGCCAGUCGAACGGAAAGGCCUCUUUCGGGGGGUACUCGAGUGGCGAACGGGUGAGUAACACGUGAGUAACCUGCCCUUGACUUUGGGAUAACUUCAGGAAACUGGGGCUAAUACCGGAUAGGAGCUCCUGCUGCAUGGUGGGGGUUGGAAAGUUUCGGCGGUUGGGGAUGGACUCGCGGCUUAUCAGCUUGUUGGUGGGGUAGUGGCUUACCAAGGCUUUGACGGGUAGCCGGCCUGAGAGGGUGACCGGCCACAUUGGGACUGAGAUACGGCCCAGACUCCUACGGGAGGCAGCAGUGGGGAAUAUUGCACAAUGGGUGGAAGCCUGAUGCAGCAACGCCGUGUGCGGGAUGACGGCCUUCGGGUUGUAAACCGCUUUCGCUCAUGACGAAGCUUUAUGUGACGGUAGUGGGUAAAGAAGCACCGGCUAACUACGUG